GGGGUGGAUAAGGAGACGAGUACC
rnacentral:miRNA from 1 species